UCGGCACCAAGCUCUCAAAUACCGUGCCAGUCUCUCACUCUAUGAACGGUUACUGGGACGUCCUUACCCUAAACCAUAAAUGAACACUAAACUUUUUACCUUUAUACUUGAUAGAGGUAGGGACGUCCCAAGGAUACCAAAUAGCACGGCCCCUCUGGGAAAGCCUAUGAACUCUUCUAAUCAACUGAAAGCCACGGACACAACUCGUAUUGGUUGUCUGAUGCAGGCUACUGGGAACUGGUAACAACACAGUCUGUGAUUGGCUAACAACAUUUGCUGUAUACAGCGAGAUAAGAUAACAUACCACGCCAUAAGGUGUUGAGGGAAAGACAGACUACCUAUAGAUUGGACAUAAUAUUUUCUAGGCCAUUAGCGAUAACAGGAAGCUCGAGGGGCUACACUCGGAGGCUACUUCGGAAUGUCGGCUUGCAUGGGAAAAAUGAAUGGACCAUUAUCCUGCACCUAUAUCGAAACAGGAGCAGCGGGAAAAAAUGUAAUGUCCUCCAUGCGUAUACGUCAAUGCUGUUGGCUGAGACUACCCAGAACAUAUCCCAGUCCACGUGAUAGAAGCAAUCUUAAAGUGUGGAAUCCAAUUGGUCAGACCAGCAUUGGAUAGACCUAAGCAUGAGUGCUUCCUGUUUUAGUUUCUGUCUAUAGGAGGGGCUCAACAAGAUGGAGUCAUGGUCAGAUUUCCAAAAGGAGGGCCUUGUAUGCAUUGCGGAAGUUAGUGUGUUACUCACUCAUGUACUGCAAUCAAUAUGCUGAUAGAAUUUAGGUAGCCUUGUUCUCAGAUUAGCUUUGUUAAAAUCCCCAGCUACAAUAAAUGCAGCCUUAGGAUAUAUGCUUUCCAGUUUGCAUAAAGUCCAGUGAGGUUCCUUGAUGGCCAUCUUGGUAUCUGCUUGCGGGUGGAUAUAUACGUUUGUGACGAUAACCAAGGAGAGUUCUCUUGGGAGAUAAUAUGGUCGGCAUUUGAUUGUGAGGAAUUCUAGGUCAGGUGAACAAAAGGACUUGAGUUCUAUGUUGUUAUAAUUACAGAACAAAUAUUCUUUCAUAGUUUAAUAUUGACGCUGACACAUAUGAGUCUUUACUCAGGCAGACUCCCCACUGCCGCCCCUGGAGCAUUUUUACAUUGAGGCGGAUCACCACGCUUCGGUGUCUCUCCUGCUGGUUACUCAAAGGUGAAGCAGCAGGGGCUAACAGGAAAAAGUAUGAAAAAGGGAAAAAGUACUACUGAAUUACUACACAAAACCUAUUUGUAGUCAAAACCAUACCCCCGGAGUGCCCUCACCACCCCUGUGUAGGCUGUCUCGUCGUUGUUGGUAAUCAAGCCCACUCCUGUUGUGUCAUCUGAAAACUUGAUGAUUGAGUUGGAGGCGUGCAUGACCACG
rnacentral:lncRNA from 13 species